GGAAGGAUCAUUACAGAUUCAAGAUAGGAGCCAGCAGGGCGCCGCCAGCGGUGGGGACCACACGGGGGAAAACUUUCCCCCGCCCCAGCCGGGCGGCGUCACUCUGGCCGACUGAGAGCGCGAUCGCAUGGGCUUCUUUGCGUUUAUUUCGAAUGCUGAGAAACAGGCAGUCGUUCGAGCCAUCGGGGUGCAACAAAUCCCCGGAGGUCUCGGCGGCUGGUACCGGCGGUUAAAUUCCAUGAAGACGGAGCAUAGACAGCUAACCCCUCUUGUCGCUUGCCGCAAAAAAAGAAGUCCCCCGGGACCCCGGCCUUACAGAGGGACGCUUUGCUCUAGAGAGGUCAUCUGCGUACUUGGACCGAGAGGCCCGCAUCAUCGUUCAACUCACCCGUCCGAAGGUGGGGCGCCGGUGCGGGGACCGAUCGGUUCAGCCUUGAUUCUUAAUGCUCGCACACGCGAGAUCUGGGCCGUCAGACGCCCACUCGCCUACUGGCGUGAUGGGUUCGGAUUUGGAACAGUUCAACAUCUAGACGAACGCGGGGACAAAGGCGCCGUAAGCUCUGCGGCGUCACCCUGCGGGGCUGUAAGCCAUCGACUCACCUUCCACACGGCGUAAUUCUGCCAGCGGAGUUGGUUUGGAUCUUCGGAUCAGGUGAGGGCUUGUCAGCAGCCCGUCGACGAGUUGCCGAGUCCAGUCCGUUCCCACGCGCGUGGGAUCUCAGCCGGGCCGGGGGCAAAUUCGGCCCCUUAAAAUCGGUUUUCUUGGGAAGGAUUUUUUGUGCCUUUCCAAGAUUUAUCGGUGGAUGCGUGGUGUGUUCCGUGGCCGACAUACCAGGAGCCACCAGAUGUCCUACUGCCGUGUGCGGGCCCCGUUCCAUCGUCCCUCGGACGCUCUGGAAAGCGAUACGUCUCAGCCGGUCGGUGACCUGCUAGUUAAAAUUUCUUCGCGCCGGCCGCGUUGACCCCGGUCCACUGGAUCGAGUGCGUCCGCGGGCUCUGCGGGCCUCCCAGGCCCGUGGACAGUCUGGCGUAAGAGAUCCUCUAUACCAACUCCCGGACCCCUUGUCUAUGUGUACUCUCGUUUCCUCGGCGGGCUCGCCCGCCAAACGGGACAAACAAACCCAUUUUUGCAGUGGAAGUCUCUGUCUGAACAAUACAAACCUUAUUAAAACUUUCAACAACGGAUCUCUUGGUUCUGGCAUCGAUGAAGAACGCAGCGAAAUGCGAUAAGUAGUGUGAAUUGCAGAAUUCAGUGAAUCAUCGAAUCUUUGAACGCACAUUGCGCCCUUUGGCUAUUCCAUAGGGCAUGCCUGUUCGAGCGUCGUCUCAAACCUUCAAGCCUAGCUUGGUGUUGGGUGACUGUCCCGCCUCUCCGCGCGGACUCGCCUCAAAGUCAUUGGCAGCAGACUCGGUAGCUAAUUGCGCAGCACAUCGCGCCAGAGGCUCCGGGCCCGCUCUCCACGAGCACAGUCUCAUCAGUUUGACCUCGGAUCAGGUAGGGAUACCCGCUGAACUUAAGCAUAUCAAUAAGCGGAGGAAAAGAAACCAACAGGGAUUGCCCUAGUAACGGCGAGUGAAGCGGCAACAGCUCAAAUUUGAAAUCUGGCUCCUUCCGGGGUCCGAGUUGUAAUUUGUAGAGGGUGCUUUGGCGUCGGCCAUGGUCUAAGUUCCUUGGAACAGGGCGUCACAGAGGGUGAGAAUCCCGUACGUGGCCGCUGGCCUUCGCCAUGUAAAGCCCCUUCGACGAGUCGAGUUGUUUGGGAAUGCAGCUCUAAAUGGGAGGUAAUUUCUUCUAAAGCUAAAUAUUGGCCAGAGACCGAUAGCGCACAAGUAGAGUGAUCGAAAGAUGAAAAGCACUUUGGAAAGAGAGUCAAAAAGCACGUGAAAUUGUUGAAAGGGAAGCGCUUGCAGCCAGACUUGCCCGUAGUUGCUCAUCCAGGCUUCGGCCCGGUGCACUCUUCUGCGGGCAGGCCAGCAUCAGUUCAGGCGGUCGGAUAAAGGUCCCGGGAAUGUGGCUCUCUUCGGGGAGUGUUAUAGCCCGGGCGUAAUGCGGCCAGCUUGGACUGAGGUCCGCGCAUCUGCUAGGAUGCUGGCGUAAUGGCUGUAAGCGGCCCGUCUUGAAACACGGACCAAGGAGUCUAACAUCUAUGCGAGUGUUUGGGUGUCAAGCCCGAGCGCGUAAUGAAAGUGAACGGAGGUGGGAACCCGCAAGGGCGCACCAUCGACCGAUCCUGAUGUCUUCGGAUGGAUUUGAGUAAGAGCAUAGCUGUUGGGACCCGAAAGAUGGUGAACUAUGCCUGAAUAGGGUGAAGCCAGAGGAAACUCUGGUGGAGGCUCGCAGCGGUUCUGACGUGCAAAUCGAUCGUCAAAUUUGGGCAUAGGGGCGAAAGACUAAUCGAACUAUCUAGUAGCUGGUUCCUGC
rnacentral:misc_RNA from 1 species